UGCUACCUUCACUUCCCUCAUCCCUUAUGCCUUCCAACAGAAGCAAGCUAUAUGUAUAUAUAGUAUAUAGUAACGUCAUCGGAGAAUUUGUGUCAAGUGCUACUCCGACUCCAAGGUUAAAUUUUGACGACCGUACAACUGAGGCUUCGCUUGCUGUGAACGUGUCUCGACAUAUUUUUUCCUUAACAGGAAUCCUGUGGUGGUCAGGACUCGAAAAUAUCACCCGGAAAAUCCAAAAGUCUCAUGUGGAUUUCAUCGAGAGAUGCAGCAGCCUCGUGUAAUUGUGACAAUGACAUGCAACACUACUCCUUACUUGAACCUAAAGAUGAAUACAACAUUCGAGCUGAUGGCCCUACAACUGAGGGCUUUUUUGACCAUCCAGCAGCAUCUUUCUUCUUUAACCAAGCUCCUACAGUGGUCUGGACUCAAGAAUAUCAUUCUAUUUGCCCAGUCUAGCAGUGAGGCUCAUCUCUGGACCUCGGAAAGUCCAAAACUUUCAUGUGGAUUUCUUUGAGAAAGGACAAUGGUAUGCAAUACUACUCCUUACUCGACACUAAGAAUAGGUACAGCAUUUAAGAUACCAUCCGAAAAUUCAGAGAAAAGCUUUUACAGCUCCUGGCUCUCGAAGAUGAAGUUGCAGGUUUUCAUUUUACACUGAUGAAAGUGAAUAUUAGCUUUGCCUAUAUUGAUAGACAUUGAACAGAGAGCUGAGAAUCAGGGAAUAAAAGUGACAAGGACGCCAUGACUUCCAUUGAUUCAAUGAUGGGAGACAGGUCAUACCAAGUAUAGGGGGAGUACUUGAUGAAAACUUGAUCCUCUUCCCCAGAGAUCUCAGAUGAGGGAACCCUGGGAGAGCCGCCUACUCCAACUACCGUCCAUUGCAGAUCAAUACAUUCAAUGAAGCAGCCAGUACGGCAGACAAGCUACUUUCUUAUUCUAGGACUGGAAGAUCUAUGGAGUGAAUGAUUUGAUCAAUGAAUCCUUUCAGGGCCUAUCCGAAAGAGAAUCCAGUACUUCUUGGUCGUGAAUAUCUGGUGAAUAUUAGCUUUGCCUAUAUUGAUAGACAUUGAACAGAGAGUUCAGAAUCAGGGAAUAAAAGUGACAAGGACGCCAUGACUUCCAUUGAUUCAAUGAUGGGAGACAGGUCAUACCAAGUAGAGGGGGAGUACUUGAUGAAUUUUAAGGUCUCCAGCUAUUUCUGCAAUGAGAAUGAUAACCUCUUCAACUCAUCAUAUGUUCAACUUAUCUUUACAUUUCAAUGUUCAACAUAUCCCCUCAAUCCGUUUAUAAGCUCUUGACAUCAGAAAUAUACAUGAAGGAAGAAGCAGCCAUGCCAUAUUUACCAAGUGCAUCAACUAAUGAGAGUGGUCAGGAAGCAGUUCUGAAAAGGCGCCUGCAUACUAUUAGAGAAAUUAAACAGAUGUCUCAUGGAAAAUGGAGACCUACCUUGUCAUGAAGAUUCUUAAUUGAUUCAAUCAACAAGUGUGUCUGCAAAAAACAAAACUAGUUAACUGUGCACCAAAGAAAAAGUAGGGAAUUACAGCAAUCAAAACAGUCAAAAAAUGCAGAUUUAAAAAAAAAAAAAAAAAAGAAGGCAAAAGAUAAAACUAGCAUGAAUGGAUGUAAGAUUGAUAAAAAUGAUCACACCACUACGGGAUUCUUUGUAGGGUUGAAAUGUCUUAGAAACACAACUGAUGUAGCGCUGUGGCGACAAGACUAUUUCAGCUUUAGGCACCACUUAUUUAAAGCUCUAAGCCAUAAAAAGGCAAGUUGUUCUGAUCUAACAGCUGGAGAUAGUCUGCGUAGUGUAAAGGUACAGAGGAAUGUGGAAAAUCCAACCUUUCUGAAUCUGGUUUGUGUCAGAGCAGACUCGACUUGGUUUUCCAAAUGGACAAGAUCAGUAAUGCUGAGAUCAUCGACAUCAGGCUCCUCAAUUUGCCUGUCAAAUUGAGGAUCAGAUACUAUGCUUUCCAAGGAAAAUUCAAAGAAAAGAGCAGCAAAAGGGGAUACACAAUGUACACCAGUCAAUGGGAUGGAUAUUUGGCUCUACCGAACAUAUAAGGAAAUUCGAAGUAACAUUCUAUGGAUGUCAAGACAUGGACAAGUUUUGAAACCCUAGAAGGAAAUGUCGACACAACUACUUCAAUGAAUAUCUUCAGUUGCUAAAUCGAACAACAAGAUUAAAGGUCCCACUUGAUC